CCUACGGGAGGCAGCAGUGAGGAAUAUUGGUCAAUGGACGCAAGUCUGAACCAGCCAUGCCGCGUGCAGGAUGACGGCUCUAUGAGUUGUAAACUGCUUUUGUACGAGGGUAAACCCCGAUACGUGUAUCGGGUUGAAAGUAUCGUACGAAUAAGGAUCGGCUAACUCCGUGCCAGCAGCCGCGGUAAUACGGAGGAUCCGAGCGUUAUCCGGAUUUAUUGGGUUUAAAGGGUGCGUAGGCGGUUUGAUAAGUUAGAGGUGAAAUGUCGGGGCUCAACCCCGAAACUGCCUCUAAUACUGUUGGACUAGAGAAUAGUUGCGGUAGGCGGAAUGUAUGGUGUAGCGGUGAAAUGCUUAGAGAUCAUACAGAACACCGAUUGCGAAGGCAGCUUACCAAACUAUAUCUGACGUUGAGGCACGAAAGCGUGGGUAGCAAACAGGAUUAGAUACCCCAGUAGUC
rnacentral:rRNA from 1 species